AGAAAGAAGGGGGGAACCGAAUCAGAAAAUGAGGCGAGCCGCGAGGGAAGAAGGAGGGGGAAGAGGGAGACGGCGCGGUAGGCGUCACUGCCACCAAAGCCGCCGUUGAAUCACCAUGGGGGAGAAGGAGAGAGAAGCAGAACCGUGAAGAGAGAGAUCGAUGGAGACAUUCACGCAGUUCGUCUUCGUCGCUGCCAUGCGUUGCCGCCGCCGCCGCUAGUUUCGCUACCGUUGAGCUUGAAGGAGAAAAGGAGAGCGACGCUGACAGAGAGAUUGACGGAAGCCAGUAGUUGCCGUCGGUCGAGCUCACCGUUGCUGGAUGUGAAUCGGUGUCACAUCCUUGUAGCCAGAGCCAGCAGCGCCACUACUACUACAAUAGAGAUGAAAAACCUAAUUUGCUGAACUUAUUGUUCACUGGUGGUUAAUCACGAGAUCCGCCUGGUGUUUGAAGUGCAUGGGACUAUUGUUGAGGUUGUUCUUUUAAAAGAUAAGAGAACUGGUGGACGACAAGGAACCAUCUCCUGUUGUUGUCAGAUAUGCUGAUUGGGAACGUGAAUGGCUUGGAUGACCACCAGGAAGGGUACAGAGAGAGCCUCUAACAAGUCACCGACGAGGAGAGAAAUAAAAAGCACAAGCACUUUCAACAAAUCUGCUGCUCCUUCAGAUACUUCAGAGGUUGGACCGGCUUGACCGACAGGCAAAGCAAAUGGAGCGCCGUAACAAGCGCCAAUUUACAUACCUCAAGGAGCUGCUUGUUGGUAACCACCCACCUGAGGAAGACCAAAGGACACUCCGGACUCCACCUUACCUACCAGCCCCCCUUUGUUCCUGACUGAUGGCACCGAGGACGGUGCCAAGCUUUAAGUGUGGGGAGGUUGGUCAGUACCUGACUUCCGAAGGUAACUUUUCUCUCUUAACACCAACAUUUUUAGUUUUUCUUUUGUUAUUUAGGAUAGAUUGCAUGUUAAUAAUUGCUUGCAUGUAUGUUUUGCUUAGAUAAAGUAAUGAGUUUCUUUUCAAGACCCUUUUUAUAGUAUUUUAUUAAUUUAAAUUAAAAAAAAAUUUUUUAAACUUGUUGGAAGUUGUAUUUGGAACAUGGGUUAUAGCUAAGAACACACAACCUGUAAGAUUUGAGCUUAAUUACAUGGUUACAUUAUUUAACCAUAAAAAUUUUAUUCUUGUGUGUUUUCUUCUCUAUGAUUGUAAUCUAUAUUUUGUUCCAUCCUAUAUGUCCAAUGUUUAGUGUAUUUAAAUGCAUAUAUAUGAUUGAGGCCAUCAAUUGUUAUUAGCUCACUUAUCCCAAAUAGCCUACCCUUUCAGUCACCUUUGUUAGCCACCUUGAGCCUUUUAAUCCCCGUUUGUUCUAUAUUUUACCACAUUACUAGCCUUAAGUGGAAAAACAAUUAAUUACCCCAAUUGAAUCUUUGGUUAGCUUAAAAUAGAGAUUGUGUGUCAAUUAAGUUUAGGGAACUAUGGAAACUUGGGUGGAUGAAAGUGUACAGUGUUUCAUUGGCAAAAUAUUGGGAAUUUGGGUACCUACUUAUGUGAGACCAGAAAAAUUAAAAAUCCAUGUGCAUUGAUAUGUUAUGUUUACUUUUAUAUUUUUAAAGAAAAAAAAGAAAUAUAUAUAUAUAUAUAUAUAUAUAUAUAUAUAUAUAUCCUCACCUUUACCUUAGCCCCAUUACAACCUUGAAAAGACCUCAUGAUAUUUGUAUUGGUACAUUAAAUAUUGUUGAUUGGUUAGGUGAAGAACAAAGUUUAGAAAGCAUGACUAAGGGAGACUAGAGUGAAUUACCCUAUACAUUUGAGUGAUUAGAGUGUACAUACACCAUCAGUGAGGGUUCAAUGCUUGAUUCUAUGUUCCCUGCUUUUAUGAGCUAUCUUCUAACAAGUUUACUUGUCUUAUACUAUAUGAUUAGAAUUGGUGGAAUUUGAAUUUUUUUCCAUCUUAAAGAACUUAUUUACUUUUAACCAAGUAGACAGAAUCAUCAUAGCGUAUAGUUGCAUUCAUAGGUUGCAUCUCAUGAGCUUUACUUUCCCCAUUCAUUCUUUAUAGCUUAUCUUGAGCUUAGCAUGAAGACAUGCUAAUGUUUAAGUGUGGGGAGAUUGAUAAACCACUAUUCUAUGGUUUAUCUUGUGCUAAUUUGAGUGGUUUUUAUCAACUCUUUACUCACUUAUUCAUAUAAAUUGCAUGGUUUUACAUUUUCCUUCCUAAUUUUGUUCUAUAAUUAAAAACUUGCUUUCCAAGCCUUUAAAUUACCAAAAAAUAAUUCCUUUUUAUACCAUUCGAUGCCGUAAUAUGUGUGUUAAGUGAUUUCAGAGAUUACAGGGCAGGAAUGGCUCAGAGGAUGGAAAGGAAGCAUGCGAAAGUGGAAGGAAUACAAGAAACUGAAGAAAUUGCUAAGCUGUCCAUCCUGACCUCUUCGCACUCAAAUGGUCAUAACUUGAGCUACAGAUGUCUGAAUGAGGCGCUUCUAGUUGCGGUGGAAAGCUAACAUCCGAGGCUUUGAAAUGAUAUAUAGUUUGCCAUAGUUUCCCUGAGGAUAAGUGAAGCACACGCGUGAAUCUGUGCGAAACCAGCGACGUGCACGUGUUUGAAUUCGGACCCAGCGAUUUCUGGGCUGUUUCUGACCCAGUUUUCGCCCCAGAAAACACAGAUUAGAGGCUAUAAAGUGGGAAAAUGCAUCCAUUCAAAAUGCAACAUUCAUUAUUCACAAUUUUAGUUUUUGAUGUAGUUUUUCUAGUGAGAGAGGCUUUCUCCUCUCUCUUAGGAUUUAGGAUUAGGAUUUCUUCGUCUUUUCAAAUUCCAGGUUCAAUGUUCCUUUAAUUUAGUUUUUCUUCUAUUUUCAUUUAUUCUAUUACUUUGAUUUAUGAAUUCACAUGUUAGAUUUGAUUUUAUAUUUAAUAUAAU